UUCCGGUUGAUCCUGCCGGAGGCCAUUGCUAUCGGAGUCCGAUUUAGCCAUGCUAGUCGCACGGGUUCAGACCCGUGGCGAAUAGCUCCGUAACACGUGGCCAAACUACCCUACGGAGGAGCAUAACCUCGGGAAACUGAGGCUAAUACUCCAUACGAGACGCAGCCUGGAAUGGCGCGUCACCGAAACGCUCCGGCGCCGUAGGAUGUGGCUGCGGCCGAUUAGGUAGACGGUGGGGUAACGGCCCACCGUGCCGAUAAUCGGUACGGGUCAUGAGAGUGAGAGCCCGGAGACGGACUCUGAGACACGAGUCCGGGCCCUACGGGGCGCAGCAGGCGCGAAACCUUUACACUGCACGCCAGUGCGAUAGGGGGACACCGAGUGCGAGGGCAUAGAGCCCUCGCUUUUCUGUACCGUAAGGUGGUACAGGAACAAGGGCUGGGCAAGACCGGUGCCAGCCGCCGCGGUAACACCGGCAGCCCAAGUGAUGGCCGAUAUUAUUGGGCCUAAAGCGUCCGUAGCUGGCCGGGCAAGUCCGUCGGGAAAUCCACGCGCUUAACGCGUGGGCGUCCGGCGGAAACUGCUCGGCUUGGGACCGGAAGAUCCGAGGGGUACGUCCGGGGUAGGAGUGAAAUCCCGUAAUCCUGGACGGACCACCGAUGGCGAAAGCACCUCGGAAGGACGGAUCCGACAGUGAGGGACGAAAGCUAGGGUCUCGAACCGGAUUAGAUACCCGGGUAGUCCUAGCUGUAAACGAUGCUCGCUAGGUGUGGCACAGGCUACGAGCCUGUGCUGUGCCGUAGGGAAGCCGUGAAGCGAGCCGCCUGGGAAGUACGUCCGCAAGGAUGAAACUUAAAGGAAUUGGCGGGGGAGCACUACAACCGGAGGAGCCUGCGGUUUAAUUGGACUCAACGCCGGU
rnacentral:rRNA from 1 species